UGGGGAAUUUUGCGCAAUGGGCGAAAGCCUGACGCAGCGACGCCGCGUGGGUGAUGAAGGCCUUCGGGUUGUAAAGCCCUGUGGGGAGGGAAGAAUAAGGGGCGGCUAAUACCCGCACCGAUGACGGUACCUCCUUAGCAAGCACCGGCUAACUCUGUGCCAGCAGCCGCGGUAAGACAGAGGGUGCAAACGUUGUUCGGAAUUACUGGGCGUAAAGCGCGUGUAGGCGGUCUAGCAAGUCGGAUGUGAAAGCCCUUGGCUCAACUGAGGAAGUGCAUUCGAAACUGCGAGACUUGAGUCCCGGAGAGGAUGGUGGAAUUCUCGGUGUAGAGGUGAAAUUCGUAGAUAUCGAGAGGAACACCGGUGGCGAAGGCGGCCAUCUGGACGGUGACUGACGCUGAGACGCGAAAGCAUGGGGAGCAAACAGG
rnacentral:rRNA from 1 species